GGGAUUGUGGCUCAGUGGUAGAGUGCUUGCCUACCAUGCAGGAGGCACUGGGUUUGAUCCUCAGCACCA
rfam:Ictidomys tridecemlineatus contig063920, whole genome shotgun sequence.